rnacentral:rRNA from 1 species
UACGAAGGGGGCUAGCGUUGCUCGGAAUCACUGGGCGGAAAGGGUGCGUAGGCGGGUCUUUAAGUCAGGGGUGAAAUCCUGGAGCUCAACUCCAGAACUGCCUUUGAUACUGAAGAUCUUGAGUUCGGGAGAGGUGAGUGGAACUGCGAGUGUAGAGGUGAAAUUCGUAGAUAUUCGCAAGAACACCAGUGGCGAAGGCGGCUCACUGGCCCGAUACUGACGCUGAGGCACGAAAGCGUGGGGAGCAAACAGG